rnacentral:miRNA from 1 species
GGGCGAGAACCAAAGCCCACUGAAAUCCAUAGGAGUCUUUCUAUUGACGUCAGUGGGCUUUGGAUCAGGUCCU